rnacentral:rRNA from 1 species
GACGAACGCUGGCGGCGUGCCUAAUACAUGCAAGUCGAGCGGACUAAUGGGAGCUUGCUCCCGUUAGUUAGCGGCGGACGGGUGAGUAACACGUGGCAACCUACCUGUAAGACUGGGAUAACUUCGGGAAACCGGAGCUAAUACCGGAUGACAUAAAGGAACUCCUGUUCCUUUAUUGAAAGAUGGCUUCGGCUAUCACUUACAGAUGGGCCCGCGGCGCAUUUGCUAGUUGGUGAGGUAACGGCUCAACAAGGCGACGAUGCGUAGCCGACCUGAGAGGGUGAUCGGCCACACUGGGACUGAGACACGGCCCAGACUCCUACGGGAGGCAGCAGUAGGGAAUCUUCCGCAAUGGACGAAAGUCUGACGGAGCAACGCCGCGUGAGCGAUGAAGGCCUUCGGGUCGUAAAGCUCUGUUGUUAGGGAAGAAUAAGUGCUAGUUAAAUAAGCUGGCACCUUGACGGUACCUAACCAAAAAGCCACGGCUAACUACGUGCCAGCAGCCGCCGUAA